rnacentral:lncRNA from 1 species
UUUGCUCUAAAAAAUGGCAUCUCCGUUUAAAAUUUCUGCUUUGCUUCUAACCUUUUGCGUCUCAAUUUCUCUAACCUUACCCGUACGUUCACAAACAUGCGCCUCACAGACGUUCACAAACAACAAUCUGUACACCCACUGUUUAGACCUCCCUACACUCUCCUCCUACCUUCAUUUCACCUACGAUGCCGCAAAUUCAACGCUGUCCGUCGCCUUCUUUGCUU